rnacentral:rRNA from 1 species
UGGGGAAUAUUGCACAAUGGGCGCAAGCCUGAUGCAGCGACGCCGCGUGGGGGAUGAAGGCCUUCGGGUCGUAAACUCCUUUCGCUAGGGACGAAGCCUUUUUAGGUGACGGUACCUGGAGAAGAAGCACCGGCUAACUACGUGCCAGCAGCCGCGGUAAUACGUAGGGUGCGAGCGUUGUCCGGAAUUACUGGGCGUAAAGAGCUCGUAGGUGGUUUGUCGCGUCGUCUGUGAAAUCCCGGGGCUUAACUUCGGGCGUGCAGGCGAUACGGGCAUAACUUGAGUGCUGUAGGGGAGACUGGAAUUCCUGGUGUAGCGGUGAAAUGCGCAGAUAUCAGGAGGAACACCAAUGGCGAAGGCAGGUCUCUGGGCAGUAACUGACGCUGAGGAGCGAAAGCAUGGGUAGCGAACAGG